AGGUUAGCGUACUUUGAAGCAGUGCUUCCACUUUUAGGGAAUUCUCCCUUUUUUAGGGAAAAAUAGCUGAUAUUUUGGAUGAUAAAGACAAUUAAAAAAAUACCAGGAUUUAGGAUAUUUCUGGGUAAAAAGCAAAGCCUAUACUAGUAACUGUUGUGAAUUUUAAAAUAAACGAUAAUUAACGUAAAACAAUGAACAUUUUAUUUUAUGGAGAGAGAAUGACAUUAAGUCGAGUUGACAAGUAAAAGAAUAAAACAGAGUUGUGUAUAAAAACUAUAAAGAAGGUUUGAUUCAACAGUAACCCUCUAGUAAAGUAAAUCAUAGAUUAAGCCACUGCUUUUUUCUUAGGGAUUCCCCAGAAUCCCAAUAAGUAUAAUCCGCCAAACUUUUAUUUACCUAUUUUCGUUGAUGUCACCAGAACUUACUUGUAUUGUAAUAUACAAGUACUUCAUGUACCAUGAAAUAUUAUCAUGGUAAUUUCAUUUACGAAAACCUUGUAAUUGUCAUUUCACUUUUGCUAGCAGUUCCUUCUUCAAAGACUGAGGUGGAAAGAUUAUUCAGUGUUCUCAAAUGUAAAAACUGACAAAAGAAACAGGCUUUCUAAUGAAACCCUGAACGGCUUGCUUCAUAGAAAGUUCCCAACUUUGCCAGCAAACAAUUGCUCAAUUUUAGAACCGAACAGUGUUAGGUUGCGUGCAGCAAAAGAAAAUAAAAGUAAUGCGUCGACUUCCUUGAAAAUUCUAAUCCUAUAGAUCUAUGAUCUUCUGGGGGCGUUUAUAUUAUAUAUACCUACAUUAAAUAAUAUGCUGUGGUUUAUUUUCUGUAUUUUAUUUAUGCUUUCUAUAUAAAGGAUUUAUGAAAGUUGUCUAGGAAAUUUUAGGGAAAAUUCAAAAGAAACUAGGGUAAAAUGUGUUAAAAAAAACGUAAGUGGAAACACUGCUUUGAAGUUUUCAAAAUUCCAGGGCCGUAAAACAAUCUCAAAAAAAAAAAAGUUUUCAAAAUGUCGUAACGAUUUAAUUUUUUAAAUAGUUUUUUUUUGGUCUUGGUAAAGUUUAUUAUUAAAAAUCAGCAUGCCUCGAAGAACGAAAAUGAAAUGCUAUUUCGGAUGCCUUGAUAACGACAAAGGUUUGAUAAUGACAAAAUUUUAUGGAAAAAUUAUAAGGAGCACUAAAAUGUCUGAAACAUGAAAAGAUUGAUGCACUAUAUUUGAACCAGAACGUGUUAUGUAAUAUAUUAAUUUAAGAGAAACUGAUUCAGCAAGGAACGUGAACUCUCAAGGGAUCUUAAUUUUUUUUAAAUAUGUUUAUAAUUUAUAAAUUAAUAAUUGAAAUAGUUCAUAAGAACUAAAUUGAUGCCAAUUUUGUUUUUAAAUAGGUUGUUUAGUUCUUAUAGUUAUAGUAUUACGUUUGAAUAGUUGUAAUUAGUAAGUUAGUAAUAUAUGAAAAUACUGAUAUACAUUUUUGUAAAUAACCUUUUGUAAAUUCUACGAGUAGAUGAUUUUAAUUAAUGUCAAC